AGUGGCCGAGGAUGAGGGCGACGUCAAGGCUGCGGCAACGACGGUUUCAACCCACUAACUCACCAACCCGAUCUGAAUUGCAAAAAUAUAUAACUUAAUAGUUGUUACUUGUCGGUGUCUGUUUGGCCUAGAUUCUGAAUAAUGAAAAAAAUUAUUUGUCCUUAACCUAGCAAUACACAACCAACAUUAUUAUAUCUUGCAAUCAGGCAAGAAAAAAUUUUAAUUUAAUUUAUAAUCUUAGUUUUCAGAUAUAUAUGUACGGACUUAAACCUUUUGUUAGAUCCAACUCAAAUACGUAUCCUACACCCUUUAACACCCUUAUUUUUUUUAUGACGAAAAUGACUUUCUCCCUCUUCACUUUCGCCCAACCACCAUUCAAUGAAUGUGAUGAAACCAAAAAAUAAAAAUUCUUUUGAUUAAAUUACUAUAUAAAGAGUAAUGAACAAGUAACUCAAGCAAUGCAAUACUAGCAAAAACAUGGGUUCUGUGGUAACCAAGUCUAAACCUUUCUUAGUUGCCCCAUCCAAACCAACCCCUAGGGGGAAACUCCUCUUCUCUCCAAUUGACAAGAUCCAAAUUUUGAGAUCCUUACUUGUUUCAUCUGUACAUGUUUUCGCACACACGGACGGCGGCGGCAGCGUUGAGAUUGUUAAUACGAUAAGACAGGCAAUAUCGGAAGCUCUAGUUCUGUAUUACCCGCUUGCAGGUCGACUCGUGGAUGUAGGGGACGGGGACCUCUACAUUGAAAGCACUGGAGAAGGAGUAGGCUUUGUCGAGGCAUCGGCGGAUUGUAGCUUGGAGGAUGUGAAUUUCUUGAAGCACCCUUCUGUGAUCCCGUUGGAAGAGCUGGUAGUAGAUCAUCGCGGUUGGAGAGUAACCGAUCCUCCCGUCGUUAUGCAGGUUUCGUAUGAAUACAUGGGUUCAUUAAUUCCUUAACUGCGUGAAAAGAGUUGUAAAUAGUGGCGUGAUAAGUGUAGUUGUUAGUUCUAGUUAGAGUACAAAUGAAAUAAGUCAUAAAUAAAUUAGAUUGAGUCUUCAAUCGUGUGUUUACUAGUUGAUUCACAUUUUUAGCUAAAUUUAUUUCUAAAUGAAAUAAACGAAACGGGUAGCGUGCUACCUAUAUAUAUUUAUGACUAAUCUUUUGGUGUAUUUGCAUAGAUAACCAAAUUCACCUGCGGCGGAUUCGCCCUCGGCUUUGCAUGGCACCACUUACUCGCCGAUGGCACCGGAGCCGCGCAAUUCUUGAAUGCCGUAGGCGAGCUCGCCCGCGGCCUCCCACACCCAACCGUCGACCCGGUUUGGGCCAGGGAUUCUCUCCUCGAUGUUCCCCCGAAAAUGUCCUCAUUACCUUUAUCGACUCCGAACUUACUCCAGUUAGAGUACUCCGAGCUGAACAUUCCCUUAGAUUACAUCAAUCGAACUAAGGAAAACUUCUUUCGACAAACUGGGCAAUCGUGCACCGCAUUUGACGUGGCCUUGGCCACAAUUUGGCAGUGUCGAACACGGGCAAUAGGCUUAGAACCUACCGAACCAGUGCGGGUGUAUUUCGCGGUGAAUGUUCGCGAAAUGCUACAAGCUCAACCUGGCUACUACGGAAAUAGCAUUUUCUUUCAAACCGUUUUAUCGACUAGUCAGGAGAUUGCAGAGUCACCCAUGGUUGAGAUUAUUAAAAUCAUUAGAUCUGCCAAGGGUACAAUUUCGACCGAACUAACUAAAUGGAAGAGGGGCUUACUGAAAGACAGUCCAAUGGAGCAUGUUGAACUCAGCUACAACACACUGGGCAUAACUUAUUUGAAAAAUUUAGGGUUCGAGCACGUUGAUUAUGGAUCGGGAAAGCCGCUUUCGGUGACCGUACGUAAUGAAUAUAAAUUCGUCUCCUUCUGCGUGCUAGGUUCACCGCAUACUCGCGAAAAUAGGGUUUACAUAAAUGGGCGCAUUGUUAAGAAGGAGCACUUAGGGGCACUACGCAAAGAAAUGGAGCUGUUAAAAUAAUUUCAGAGGAAAGAGAUUUUUCAUCACCAAUAAUACGAAUGUUUUGUAUCGACGAAUUAGUUCGAUCGACUUACGAUCAGAAAUUAAUAAAUGCCUUGUAAUUUUUAGGGAUUCUCUAUAUAACUCUGUAAAAGGAGUACGUGCACGCAUAUAUGCAUGGCAUGCACAUUUAUGUAUCUAAUAUAUAUUUUAUUUGUAGCACACAAAAAUUAAAAAAAAAAAUGAAAUUUGUUAUGGUAAUUACUUGUGUUUAUUUCUUUGCUUUACAAUUAAUAGAGGAAUUUCAAAACUAUAUGCUUAAAUUCAACAUCAUAAAGCAUACCCAAUAUGCAUGUGUAACACACGUACGUACCCAACUAUUUAUUUCAUUAACGGGCUUGGAUUUGGAUUUAGUUCUCAAAAGCCUGGCUCAAGCCCGGCCCGGCCCGGCUCAUGAAGAGGUUUAUUUAUGCCUAAUCUUUUGCAAUAUUUUGUUAAUUAGUGAGCUUACAUAUUAGUUAAUUUCGCUAUGCUUAGGUAAAGGCAUGGCACCAUGCACUCACUUGCCGACGGCAUUGGAGACGCGCAAUUCUUGACCGCCGUUGGCGAGCUAGCUCGUGAUCGAUCGUCGGCCUGGUUUGGGCCAGGGAUUCACUCCUCGAUCUUUCCCGGAAAUUUUCCUUGUUACCUUUAUCAACUCCGAACUUACUUUAGUUAGAGCACACCGAGCUAACCUAACCAUAUCAUUAGAUUACAUCCAUGGAACGAAAGAAAACGACUUUCCACAAACCCUGCAAUCAACUUAAGAGAUCUAGUGGUGAAUUUCAUUAGGCCAUUAUAUAUGGGGGUUAACAUAUAUAUAUAUAUAGUGAGAGAGAGAGUUAGUCUCCUAUACUAUCUAUAAUACCGGAGCUCCAAUACUAUAAUUUCGUUUAUGAUCUCCCAUAUAUACAUAUAUAAAAUAAAGGUAAACAUGUACGAAGGCCCUCAACCAUAAGAAAUUUUGAAAUAGUAUAUAUUUUUUAUUGAGAUUUCCUCCUCUUUUCUUUUCAAUUUUUUUAGAGUUGAGGUAUCUUAGCCAAAUAAAUUGAUUGAUAAUUUUUUUUAUCAAAUUGGAUUAACUAACUGCUAAUAGCUUAUUGAGGAGAAUUCAAAAAACGUUUAACUUAAUUAACUGUGAAAACUCAAAUUAAAAAAUAAAAAUGAAGUUAAAGAGGUGUCAGCUAGGGGUGUAAACGAGCCGAACACGAGCGAGUUAGGGCCGGCUCAUAUUCGGCUCGUUGCAUAAAGAGUUAAAAGAUUAAAAUUAAAGAAUAUAUAUAGAAAAUAAAUUUACGAGAUCUUAUCGAUUAGAUUUUGAUAUAAUAGUUAAAACUUUACACAUAAUUAAAUAGACAUUUUUAUCAUUGAGUUGAGUUUUAUAUUUAGGUUAGCCUAGAAUCAAAUAGUAAAAAUCUAAAUUAUAUAAAUAAUUAUUUAUUUAUAUUAUAUUUAAAUAAAUUAUAUAAAUAUAAAAUAAAUAUAUUCAAGCUGUUAUCGAACCGAACAUAAGCAAGUUAACCACGUACAACUCGUGUUUGACUCGUUAUUAAACGAGUUGAAAAAUUAAGUUCAUAUCCGACUCAUUUACUAAAUGAUCAAUUCGAUUUCGAGCUCAUUUCGUGCCGAACGCGAGCUGGCUUGCAAACAACAAACUAGAUUGCCACCCCUAGUGCCAUACAGCCAGAAAAAAAAGAGGACAAAACUAAAGGUGAGGGGGCUCUUUCAGAAGGACUUAUAGUUGAGGGUGAUACUUUUGUUUUAACUUAUAAUUUGCAAAACAAUGUAUUUAGAUACCCUCCAAAUGGGUUUCAAUAUGGAUUUUGGAACUGUACGUAUGUUAUUAAAUAAUUAAUGUAGGGUCCUCUCUAUUUUCAACAUGAUUAUCAUGAUUUGAUUGUCUGAAUUGAGGAAUCCUAAUCCAAUGUAAACCCAACUUCUUAAGAUCUUUUUCCACCAUGAAUAAAGCAUUAAUUGUUAAUUAGUGUUUUUUUUUUUCCCUAUUCGGAAUUUGUUGUACGCACGUCUUUGCAGUAAAUAGUAAAAAUAUUCCGUGUUAUCAUUUUUUUUUCAACUUUAUAAAUGAUUAUCUUUGUAAUUCAUAUUUAUUUUAUUACUAAAUUGUUUAUUUUUACUAUUAAUUAUACAUGUUAUUUUCAAGCAGGAUCUUCCGGACCUUAUCAUCGACUUGAGUGGAUUUUCAAAGUGGCACAAUGGGGCUUAAGGACUUAGAAUUUAAGAUUUUUAGGUAUUUAGUAUCAUUUAGAAUUUGUUAUUGUUUGGCUAAAAUCAAACAAGUUCUUUGUGUCGGAACUUAUAUCCGAAAUUUAAUUUGAAUAUUGGGAUUCUAAUUGGAGAGUUAAGACUGUUUAUUAUAAAUUAUUAAUGCUCUUUGGUUAUGACUAUUUUUAAAUAUUUCAAUUCAUUGGAGUACUUUUUUGUGAAUGAAGCAUUUUAGUAUUAAAUACAAUUGCCGCUAUAAUUCUUAUUUAACAAUCAUUUAGUAUAUAUUUUAUGGCAAUUAUAUUUAAUUAUAGCGGCAUUUAUAAUAGUUGUUGAACAAUUAUUUAGUAUAUAUUUUGUGACAAUUAUAAUUAAUUAUAGCGGCAUGUAUAAUAGUUGUUGUUGGGUAGUAUUUAGCGGCAUUUAUUUAGAUUUUUACCAACCGUCAGAACAAAUACCACAAUACCUUUUACCGACCCUACCAAUAGCGGCAAUUGUCAUAAUUGUCAUAAAACAAUUUAGCAGCAAUUAUAAUUGGGUAGAUGAAGGGUUUUUCUCUAAUAGCUCAUGAAGAUGUAUGUAUGCUCUAGCCUAUAUAUAUAUAUAUAUAUAUAUACUAUAUAUAUAAUAUAUAUAUAAUAUAUUAUAAUAAUAUAUAUAUAUAUAUAUAAUAUAUAUAUAUUGCAGGUUUUGACCUAACUAUUUUUUAUUAAUUCUCAUGAUACUCAAAGGAAAGUGAUUUGGAGAUCAAAUUCCACAUAAAAUUGUAUAAAAAAAAUAAAUUCUUUUUUAAAAGUAGUAUAUUUUUGUAACGACUCAAAUUUUGAAAUUAAUGAUUAGCAUCAAUGAUCUGGUGUAGAGGACAUGUUUGAAUUCCGGGUAGGUGCAAUCCAGUUCGCUGUUCCGCCAGAGCCAGAGGAGGGGGGGGUAGGAAGGAAAAGGAGGCGGAGGGGGGGAGAGGGAUGUGAGGAGAACCAGACUUCGAUGGGGCAACAAGAGAGGCAGAGAACACGUCAGGGGGAGGAGGAGGGUCGGGGGAAUAGAGAGACAAGCUGAAGAGAGGAGCGAGCGCGUCAGGUACGGCCGGGGCAGUUUCAACAACUACAAUACAAUCACAUCAAUAAAUUAGUAUCUUAUUAUAUGAGUGUAUCAAUUGUGAAUAUAAUUAGUUAAUAUUCUACUGAUUUGAUUAUUUGUCCUUAACCUAGCAAUACACAACCAACAUUAUUAUAUCUUACAAUCAGGCAAGAAAAAAAUUUAAUUU
rnacentral:lncRNA from 1 species